rnacentral:rRNA from 1 species
UGGCUAAUCCUGGUCGGACAUCAGGAGGUUAGUGCAAUGGCAUAAGCCAGCUUGACUGCGAGCGUGACGGCGCGAGCAGGUGCGAAAGCAGGUCAUAGUGAUCCGGUGGUUCUGAAUGGAAGGGCCAUCGCUCAACGGAUAAAAGGUACUCCGGGGAUAACAGGCUGAUACCGCCCAAGAGUUCAUAUCGACGGCGGUGUUUGGCACCUCGAUGUCGGCUCAUCACAUCCUGGGGCUGAAGUAGGUCCCAAGGGUAUGGCUGUUCGCCAUUUAAAGUGGUACGCGAGCUGGGUUUAGAACGUCGUGAGACAGUUCGGUCCCUAUCUGCCGUGGGCGCUGGAGAACUGAGGGGGGCUGCUCCUAGUACGAGAGGACCGGAGUGGACGCAUCACUGGUGUUCGGGUUGUCAUGCCAAUGGCACUGCCCGGUAGCUAAAUGCGGAAGAGAUAAGUGCUGAAAGCAUCUAAGCACGAAACUUGCCCCGAGAUGAGUUCUCCCUGAGACUUAGAGUCUCCUGAAGGAACGUUGAAGACGACGACGUUGAUAGGCCGGGUGUGUAAGCGCAGCGAUGCGUUGAGCUAACCGGUACUAAUGAACCGUGAGGCUUAACCUU